UUCUCCUACAAUCUGCGUAUCUGUGGUUCCCUGUCUUUGGGCACGUAAUAAUUGGAGGCAAAGAAAUGUGGACUUGGAGAAGUCUUGGACCGGCUUGCUCUCUGCAGGCUCAAGAUCAACCAUCCCACAUAG